rnacentral:rRNA from 1 species
CCUACGGGUGGCAGCAGUCGAGAAUCAUUCACAAUGGGGGAAACCCUGAUGGUGCGACGCCGCGUGGGGGAAUGAAGGUCUUCGGAUUGUAAACCCCUGUCAUGUGGGAGCAAAUUAAAAAGAUAGUACCACAAGAGGAAGAGACGGCUAACUCUGUGCCAGCAGCCGCGGUAAUACAGAGGUCUCAAGCGUUGUUCGGAAUCACUGGGCGUAAAGCGUGCGUAGGCUGUUUCGUAAGUCGGGUGUGAAAGGCGCGGGCUCAACCCGCGGACGGCACAUGAUACUGCGAGACUAGAGUAAGGGAGGGGGAACCGGAAUUCUCGGUGUAGCAGUGAAAUGCGUAGAUAUCGAGAGGAACACUCGUGGCGAAGGCGGGUUCCUGGACAUUAACUGACGCUGAGGCACGAAGGCCAGGGGAGCGAAAGGGAUUAGAUACCCCUGUAGUC